CCUACGGGUGACAGCAGUGAGGAAUAUUGGUCAAUGGACGAGAGUCUGAACCAGCCAAGUCGCGUGAAGGAUGACUGCCCUAUGGGUUGUAAACUUCUUUUAUAAAGGAAUAAAACGAGGCACGUGUGCCUGUUUGCAUGUACUUUAUGAAUAAGGAUCGGCUAACUCCGUGCCAGCAGCCGCGGUAAUACGGAGGAUCCGAGCGUUAUCCGGAUUUAUUGGGUUUAAAGGGAGCGUAGAUGGGUUGUUAAGUCAGUUGUGAAAGUUUGCGGCUCAACCGUAAAAUUGCCAUUGAUACUGGCAGUCUUGAGUACAGUUGAGGUAGGCGGAAUUCGUGGUGUAGCGGUGAAAUGCUUAGAUAUCACGAAGAACCCCGAUUGCGAAGGCAGCUUACUAAACUGUGACUGACAUUGAUGCUCGAAAGUGUGGGUAUCAAACAGGAUUAGAUACCCGGGUAGUC
rnacentral:rRNA from 1 species